GACGAGGAAAUCAUUAAGCAUUCCACUGGGAGUACGCCGGCAACGGUGAAACUCAAAGGAAUUGACGGGGCCCGCACAAGCGGAGGAACAUGUGGUUUAAUUCGAUGAUACGCGAGGAACUUACCCGGGCUUGAACUGCACAGGACAGGGGCAGAGAUGCCUUUUCCUUUCGGGGUCUGUGUGGAGGUGCUGCAUGGUGUCGUCAGCUCGUGCCGUGAGGUGUCGGCUUAAGUGCCAUAACGAGCGCAACCCUUGCCGCCGGUUGCCAUCACGCAGUGGUGGGCACUCCGGUGGGACUGCCAUCGCAAGAUGUGAGGAAGGUGGGGAUGACGUCAAAUCAGCACGGCCCUUACGUCCGGGGCUACACACGUGUUACAAUGGGGGGCACAGCGCGCCGCCACCUGGUGACAGGGAGCGAAUCGUGAAAUCCCCUCUCAGUUCGGACUGGAGUCUGCAACCCGACUCCACGAAGCUGGAUUCGCUAGUAAUCGCGCAUCAGCCAUGGCGCGGUGAAUACGUUCCCGGGCCUUGUACACACCGCCCGUCAAGCCAUGAAAGCCGGGGGUGCCUGAAGUCCGUCACCGCAAGGAUCGGCCUAAGGCAAAACUGGUGAUGGGGCUAAGUCGUAACAAGGUAACCUA
rnacentral:rRNA from 1 species